UAUGUGAUCGUCUCUCGCAUAUCAAUAAGCGGAGGAAAAGAAACUAACAAGGAUUCCCCUAGUAACGGCGAGUGAAGCGGGAAGAGCUCAAAUUUGAAAUCUUAAAGGGUUUCCCUUUACGAAUUGUAGUUUAAAGAAGUGUUUUCUGUUGAGGUUUUGGUAAAAGUUCUUUGGAAUAGGACAUCAUAGAGGGUGAGAAUCCCGUAUUUGACCUUUACUUUCAACUUUGUGAUACACUUUCAAAGAGUCGGAUUGUUUGGGAAUGCAGUCCAAAAUGGGUGGUAAAUUUCAUCUAAAGCUAAAUAUUGGCGAGAGACCGAUAGCGAACAAGUACCGUGAGGGAAAGAUGAAAAGAACUUUGAAAAGAGAGUUAAACAGUACGUGAAAUUGUCAAAAGGGAGGCGUUUGACACCAGUGUUGUUCUUCUGAAAAUCAAUUAAAGAACUGUUUAUGCUAAGUCGUUUAGACUUUAUCAGCUAACUGUUUAGUUUUGAGCUUUUCUUUAAUGCACUUUUCAGUUAACAAGUCAACAUCAAUUUCUUUUGCUGUAAAAAAGCUUGAGGAAGGUGGCUUGAGAUUCGUCUUAAGUGUUUAUAGCCUCUUGCCUAUGCAGUCGGAGAGAUUGAGGUCUGCAGCGUAGAUCCUUCGGGGCUAAAUGCAUUUGUGCUAAGUUAUAGCAUUUUAUAGACAACUUGUUGACUAUGAUUUGUCUUGUAGCUUACUCGCUUAUGUUAUUUUACCUACGCUUAGGAUGUUGAGUAGCGACAUACGCAC
rnacentral:rRNA from 1 species